rnacentral:misc_RNA from 1 species
GAAAUGCGAUAAGUAGUGUGAAUUGCAGAAUUCAGUGAAUCAUCGAAUCUUUGAACGCACAUUGCGCCCUUUGGUAUUCCUUAGGGCAUGCCUGUUCGAGCGUCAUCUAAACCUUCAAGCCCUGCUUGGUGUUGGUUGCCUGUCCCGCCUCCGCGCGCGGACUCACCUCAAAUCCAUUGGCGGCCCCCGCGUCGGCCACGAGCGCAGCAGAAACGCGAACUCGUGAGCCCGUCCGGGCGGCUCCCAGAAGCUACACCCACCCAGUUUGACCUCGAAUCAGGUAGGAAUACCCGCUGAACUUAAGC